rnacentral:pre_miRNA from 1 species
UAGGGAAGACAGAGAGAGAGAAAGAGACAGAGAGAGAGAGUUCUCUCUCUGUCUCUUUCUCUCUCUCUGUCUUCCCUAAC